GAUGAACGCUGACAGAAUGCUUAACACAUGCAAGUCAACUGUGGCGGACGGGUGAGUAACGCGUAAAGAACUUGCCUCACAGAUGGGGACAACAUUUGGAAACGAAUGCUAAUACCUGAAACUGUGAGAGAGCUUUGCGUCCCAUCAGCUAGUUGGCAAGGUAACGGCUCACCAAGGCUAGGAUGGGUAGCCGGCCUGAGAGGGUGAUAGGCCACAAGGGGACUGAGACACGGCCCGUACUCCUACGGGAGGCAGCAGUGGGGAAUAUUGGACAAUGGACCAAAGUCUGAUCCAGCAAUUCUGUGUGCACGAUGAAGUUUUCGGAAUGUAAAGUGCUGUCAGUUGGGAAGCAGUACCAACAGAAGAAGUGACGGCUAAAUACGUGCCAGCAGCCGCGGUAAUAC
rnacentral:rRNA from 1 species